rnacentral:rRNA from 1 species
GAUGAACGCUAGCUACAGGCUUAACACAUGCAAGUCGAGGGGCAUCAUGCUUAUAGCGAUAUAAGUGGUGGCGACCGGCGCACGGGUGAGUAACACGUAUCCAACCUGCCGAUAACUCGGGGAUAGCCUUUCGAAAGAAAGAUUAAUACCCGAUGGCAUAAUAAGACCGCAUGGUUUUGUUAUUAAAGAAUCUCGGUUAUCGAUGGGGAUGCGUUCCAUUAGGCGGUUGGUGAGGUAACGGCUCACCAAGCCUUCGAUGGAUAGGGGUUCUGAGAGGAAGGUCCCCCACAUUGGAACUGAGACACGGUCCAAACUCCUACGGGAGGCAGCAGUGAGGAAUAUUGGUCAAUGGGCGUUAGCCUGAACCAGCCAAGUAGCGUGAAGGAUGACGGCCCUACGGGUUGUAAACUUCUUUUACACGGGAAUAAAGUGGGCCAUGUAUGGCCUUUUGCAUGUACCGUAUGAAUAAGGAUCGGCUAACUCCGUGCCAGCAGCCGCGGUAAUACGGAGGAUCCGAGCGUUAUCCGGAUUUAUUGGGGUUUAAAGGGAGCGUANGUGGAUAGUUAAGUCAGUUGUGAAAGUUUGCGGCUCAACCGUAAAAUUGCAGUUGAUACUGGCUGUCUUGAG